AAUACGUGUAUGAUAUUUCGCACUGUGUAGAUUGAUGAAAUUU
rnacentral:guide_RNA from 1 species